GGGCCCGGCGGGCUUUCCCGGGCCCCGGGAUGAGGAAGGAGGGGGCUCAUUUCUGGGGAGCGGAUCAGGCUGGGGGUGUGGGGGGGAAGAAGCCGGUAUGCAGCCAACCAACUGGGUCCGCGAAGCCGCAGUCGCCGCGGCCCCUUUCCCGGCGCGGCUCACAGUAACUAACGUUCCGAGGCGCCUGACUAAACCCUCAAAAGCAACGGAGUGUCAAAGCUAACACUCGCGCCUAGGGCGGCAGACAAACGCGUCCCAGCGGAGCGGCCGGGCUGGGCGAGCACGCAGCCAAAGCCAAGCGGCGGGGCGCCGGCACAAGUUAGUUUUCCGGCCCGAGCAGCCCUGCCACAGCCCGGGAAGAGGAACCGACCCCACAUCCCCCGGACAGAGCCGCCCGGAGCGACGGGCGGGCGGGCGACGCAGCUCUGGAAAUAUUGCAGUACGUUAUAAUGCUAUCGUAUUCAAAACCGGAACGGUGAUGAUGCUGCGACAGAUCAGUGGAUUGAAGUCAAAGACCCAGAGGCAUAUUCAAGUACAUAUAAAUGUCAUGUCUGUAUACUCUAUGUAUACAAAAACAUAUAUACGUAUGUAUAGGUUUCUGAGCCUUCUGCGUGAACAUCUCUUGUUCCUUAUAUUCCCUUUUUAUUCCCUUUUCUACAUAUAUAUAUUUUAAAAUCAUAGUGCUAUAGCAAAGCCUUCAAAAAGGCUCCCAAUGUUCCCCACCUCCCAGUUCACACCCUGGGCUCUUGGAUCACUUGCUCUGGGGAAGGGGGCUGUAGCAGGAGAAGAUGCUGCGAGCAGCCUCUGGAGAAGCCCAUGUGACUAGGAACCAAGAACCCCAGCUGACAGCCAGCAAGUCAGUGAGGGCUGCCAAGGAACAUGUGAGUGAGCAAAGAAGUGGAUCUUCCCGCAGCUGAGCCUUCAGAGGACCGCAGUUCAAGCGACAGCUGACCCAGAACCGCUCAACUCUGCCACUCCCAGAGUCCUAAUUCUCAGAAACCCUGUGAGAUAAUAAGUGUUUGUUGGUUUAAGCUGCUCUGCUAAGUGUUGGGAUAUCUCAAUGUAUGAAGAUGUCCCCUAAGAGAGGACACCAGCUAGAUAUUGCUGACCUUCUGCUUGCCUGACUGCAGUGUAAAUACCUGGGAAGGGCCAGAUUAAAUGGUCACUGAUGUGUGAGAAUUUUCUAGGUGAAAGAAAUGAAGAAAGAAGAGUAAUAAUAUCUUGGAAGUCUUUCUAUACUAUUUGGAGAAAAAUAGUACAGCUGACCCUUGAACAACACGGGUUUGAACUGUGUGGGUCUACUUACACAUGGAUGUAGAGAGCAAGAUGGAGUCACUCGUGUCAAGCCAUGUCUUAUGUCAAGCAGCCAAGGGUGGUGCAGCUAAGACCAGAGAGCACCAAAACCAGCACAGUCUGAUGACACCCAGAACUGAUAACGAGUAGAACCAGAGCAGAUUUGCAAAGGUCCAAGCCUGAUUAAACUCCUGUAUAGAAGGAGGAUUUUUGCAGCAAAUUCUCAGACUCUCCUGACACUGACCCUUUCAGAUUUGACCACAUCAAAAAGGCAACUGCCGCGGAAGGCUCUACCCAACUGAUCUCUGAACAUGACAGAGAUUCUCCACUGUUUGAACAUAAUUAGCAGCAUGUGGCAAGAGCUGACCCUGACCUGACGGAGGCCUCCUCUUAACUGCAUGCUCAUGAACGGACUUCGAGUUGCGUUCGUUAGCUUCUUACUCCUUGUUGUAUCUUGUUUGUUGUGUGACUUUAUAUGGUCCUUUGCUUUGUGUGACACGUAUGAAGCCAAGUUACGUGAGGAGUGACAUGUCAUUGAAUUUGGAAUCCUGAAGCUGCUUUGCAAUUACGUUAACCUUGCUGUACGAUUGAAUAAAGCUGACACUAUGGAAAGACACAACUUGUGUGUGUGCCUUCAUAGUGUGCUCACACUAGGACUGCUUCUGCACAUUCCGGAAGAGGGUGAGGCCGCCAUUCUGGUUUUGCUUCUUCAAGAGGUGCUGGGUGCUCUGUGAUUCUCUUCCAGCAACUUGUGAGGAAGUGACUCAUGCCCUCUAGAGCCACAUCGUCCCAUUGGAAAUAGAAGCCCAGAGAGAGGUACAUACAAGAGGCCUGCCAAUGCAUGUUGACCAGAUGGAAUAAUUCUGACACACGGUUCAUUGGCAGUAAAGAGCUAACCUCGAAAAACAGUGUUGGCUGGCCCUGGUGGCAGAAGAUGGCUGAGAAGAGGGUUUGGAAGGUUAUAAGUGGAAAAGAGACUGGAAGGUGAUUGGAGGCUGGAAGAAGGGAUGUUCCCGGGUCUGUCCAUCCAGACACUGUUAAAGCAAGAGACAGACCUGUGGGACCUCCAGGCUCGUUGCCUGUGUGUGAACUUUUUACACUGCAGUGCUGUAAAUGUAUUUUCUCUUCCUUAUGAUUUUCUUAACAUUUUUUUCUCAGCAUUUUUUCUCUAGCUUACUUUAUUGUAAGAAUUUGUAUAUAAUAUAUAUAUAACAUCUAAAAUCUGUGUUAAUUAACUGUAA